AUGUUCAAGUAUGUAAAUGUUGUCAGCAAGAUGUUUGAUAGUGAGGCUGAAGGCUAUGAAUUCUACAACAAAUAUGCUCUUGAAAAAGGUUUUAGUGUGAGGAAAAUCUACGUUGAGUGGGAUGGAUCCAACAAAUACAUAAUUUUAAGGAAAAUUGUGUGUAGUCAUCAAGGGUUUCGCGAAGAUAAGCACAUGAAAAGAAAGAUGGAAGAUAGAAAGAGGAGGCCACGAAGUUUAACUCGUGUUGGGUGUAAUGCUAAAUUGGUCAUUACGAGACAGGAGGAAACCGAUCGGUGGUUUGUCAAGGAUUUCAUCGAUGAGCACAGCCAUCCUCUAGCCCCACGGGAUCUUUCUUGUCUGCUGCGUUCGCACAGACGAAUUAGCGAUGAGCAGAAAGCGUACAUUGCGGACAUGGAAAAAUGUGGGAUCCGUAAAUACCGUAUUAUGGAUAUUUUGUGCUUUCAAUACGGUGGAUUUGAUAAGGUUGGAUGCAUAAAGAGGGACAUUUACAAUUUCUGCCAUGCUAAUAAGCAGGAGACAAUCAGUGCCGGUGAUGCUAAAACGGUGAUCAUGCACAUGAUGGCGAGGCGAGAGCGAGAUGUGGAUUUUUUCUUCAAGUACUUGGUAGACGAGCAUGGCCAUCUGAAGGGACUGUUCUGGGCUGAUAGUCAAUCGCAACUUGACUACGAGGCUUUCGGAGACGUCAUUGUUUUUGAUAGCACAUACAGAACCAACAAAUACAAUCUGCCAUUUGUGCCUUUUGUCGGGUUGAAUCACCACCGCAGCACUGUUAUAUUUGGCUGUGGUAUAAUUUCUCAUGACACAAGCCAGGCAUACGAGUGGAUGUUGCGGACCUUUUCUGACUGCAUGGCACAGAAGCAUCCGAUAUCUGUGAUCACAGAUGGGGACCUUGCAAUGCAGAGAGCAAUAAGGGUGGUCUGGCCAGACUCAAACCAUAGACUAUGUAUAUGGCACAUUCAGCAGAACAUUGUACGCCAUCUGCAUGAUGAUGACGUAAAGGAGGAAUUCAGAUCUUUCAUUUAUGAUACUUCUUCCAUUGAAGAGCAUGAGAUAAAAUGGAUACAAUUCUUACAACGGAAUAAAGUAACCAGUGAGGAGUCUUGGCUGCAUCAGAUGUAUCAGAUGAGAAAGUUGUGGUGUGCUCCAUAUCUUGAGGGGCGUUGUUUCCUAGGAUUGAGCAGCAAUCAAAGGAGUGAGAGCUUGAACUCUGUGCUACAUACGCAUCUUGAGGGUAAGAUGUCGUUGUUUGAAAUGCUAGAGCACUAUGAGUGUUGCCUUGCGUCGCGACGGAUUAACGAAGCUCUCCAUGACGUCGAAGCCUUGCAGUCCAUUCCAUUUACAGAGGAAAAUGCUUUGCCGCUUGAGAAACACGCCGCAACAGUUUUCACACCUAGGGUCUUUAAGAUGGUCUUAUGGAGCAUAGAUGCUGUCAGCAAAUGUCAGAUUAGAGAGAUACUAGAUGGAUCAGAAGAUUCCACUUAUGUUGUGUCCAAGUAG
rnacentral:rRNA from 1 species